UACGGAGGGUGCAAGCGUUAAUCGGAAUUACUGGGCGUAAAGCGCACGCAGGCGGUCUGUCAAGUCGGGUGUGAAAUCCCCGGGCUCAACCCGGGAACUGCAUUCGAAACUGGGAGACUAGAGUCCUGUAGAGGGGGGUAGAGUUCCAGGUGUAGCGGUGAAAUGCGUAGAGAUCUGGAGGAAUACCGGUGGCGAAGGCGGCCCCCUGGACAAGGACUGACGCUCAGGUGCGAAAGCGUGGGAAGCAAACAGG
rnacentral:rRNA from 1 species